rnacentral:rRNA from 1 species
UACGUAGGGUCCGAGCGUUGUCCGGAAUUAUUGGGCGUAAAGGGCUCGUAGGCGGUUUGUCGCGUCGGGAGUGAAAACACGGGGCUUAACCCCGUGCCUGCUUCCGAUACGGGCAGACUAGAGGUAUGCAGGGGAGAACGGAAUUCCUGGUGUAGCGGUGAAAUGCGCAGAUAUCAGGAGGAACACCGGUGGCGAAGGCGGGUCUCUGGGCCGAAACUGACGCUGAGGAGCGAAAGCGUGGGGAGCAAACAGG